rnacentral:rRNA from 1 species
GACGAACGCUGGCGGCGUGCUUAACACAUGCAAGUCGAACGGAAAGGCCCUGCUUUUGUGGGGUGCUCGAGUGGCGAACGGGUGAGUAACACGUGAGUAACCUGCCCUUGACUUUCGGAUAACUUCAGGAAACUGGGGCUAAUACCCGAUAGGAGCUCCUGCUGCAUGGUGGGGGUUGGAAAGUUUCGGCGGUUGGGGAUGGACUCGCGGCUUAUCAGCUUGUUGGUGGGGUAGUGGCUUACCAAGGCUUUGAAGGGUAGCCGGCCUGAGAGGGUGACCGGCCACAUUGGCACUGAGAUACGGCCCAGACUCCUACGGGAGGCAGCAGUGGGGAAUAUUGCACAAUGGGGGGAAGCGUGAUGCAGCGACGCCGCGUGCGGGAUGACGGCCUUCGGGUUGUAAACCGCUGUCGCCUGUGACGAAGCGUGAGUGACGGUAAUGGGUAAAGAAGCACCGGCUAACUACGUG